rnacentral:rRNA from 1 species
AUGAACAAGAAGGCGACGCCUAUGUGCUUGGUGGCUCUCCUCCUCGUGAUGUCCGCCGCUCUCCUCUCGUGCCACGCGUCAGGGAGGGACAUAGGCCCAGCGGAGCAAUGGGCCAAAUACUGCGUCGCCAAACCGACCUGCAAGACGGCGCCGCAGGCGGCCCUCGACGCGUGCAGGAACGACUGCAACUUCUUCGGCUACCCUGCGAACAAGUCCUACUGCUCGGCCGCCGAAGGCGGCAUCUGUUGCUGCAUCAGGUAG